rnacentral:rRNA from 1 species
UAGAUUAGGAGGGCGGCGGCGGUGGGUACAAGGAGCCCUCGAACAGGGAAGCGGUUGGUUUAGAAGGGGAGCCCUAGGGGAGGGCUAGGCUUGGUGGUUGGCUUCGGCGGUGGAAGGAGCAAAAGGUCUAGCCCGGUUGGUGUUGGAAGGUUAGGUAGCUAGGGGUAGGUUGGUGGACGGGCUCGAGGAGGCAAGCUUCGGUGGUCUCUCGGAGGCACGACCGACCUACACCCUUGCUCUCCCUCGAGGAGGGCAAACGAGGAGGGAGGUACCUCAGCAGCGGUAGCCGCGUGGGUCGGUGGACCUGGAGCGGGGCAGAAGGAGCAGCUGGUCCUGGCCGGAGCAGGGAGAGAGAGCGGGAAGCAAGAGGAGGAAGACAGAGAGAGCGCGAGAGUUAAAGACAGAGAGAGCGGUCCAUGUACUCAUUGUCCUCGAGUGGGACGACGGUACCGGUGGCAAGGCACGGCAGCUCGGGGCGGAGGGAGCGCGGCCUAGGUAGGUAGGGGCUACGGACGCGGAGGAAGGACGAGCCUAGGUCGCUUAAGGCUCGGUUCGGCGGCGAGAAGAAGAUCGCCUGGAAGCGGCCUCAGCGCGGUACAAGGGGAUGCAGUUCGGAGCUGGAACUCGAGAAGGGGUUGCGGCAAGGACCGGAGGUGGAGAGCAGCGGCGGCUCCUGCACGCGUCGGCGGAGGAAGUUAAGCAGCGCGGCGGUGGAUCAAGCGGCCUAGGCGACGGACAGCCGGGGAAGAGGCGGACCUCGAAGCAGAGGACGUGGGCGCGGGUAUAGGCCAGUAGGGGCGGCGGUUUGAGGCGCAGGGACGUCAGGGCGCGGCGGCGGCGAAGGACAGCUCGCUCGUCUCCUCCUACUACGGAGCAAGUCGCGGCAACUGGCGCGCUCGUAGCAGUCGCGGAGGGACGGAGCGUAGCACCUAACCGAGGUCGUGGGAAGCGGUUCCGGGUCGGGGCGCGGCGAAAAAGGAGUCGGGUCGCCGAGGAUGUGGCUAGCCCGGUUGUCGGGUACAAGGCCAAUACAACGCUAACACUCCUAAGCAAGCUGAUGCAGGCAAACAGAAGAGUACCUGAGUAAGAAGAAGGAUCGCCCAAAAGUCAACGUCCACGGCAACUAUGGUCACGUCCACUGCGUUGGUUCGAGUUCACCCUCAAACUACUCCUGGAACCAGCAAUGAUACAAAGCAAAGGACUACUAGUCAUCACCAUGGGUCAACCCUGCUAGCCCCUAGAUCGUAAACCCCAAUAGAAGGAAAAAGAAAACCAAAACUGGCAUCAGCCAGAUACACACAUGAGACCUACUACAUACAAAUAAAUUACACAACACACUUCACCGCUAACAUUCGGUUGAGAAAUAGAGUAAGAACAAGUAAUGUACCCUAACACAUUUCUACUGGGAAGAACGCUGUUUUGGUGGUACGCCAAUACGGAGGUUCAGCACGGAGCUGUGCACCCUCUAUAUCGGCGUAGCACCCACAAUGUCCCCUCUGUAACUUGUAACCCUCGUAUUCCAAUGACCCUCUUCGGUACAAUACUUUUAGAGAACACCGCGCCUUUUUAAGU